AACGCUAACGGCGGUCGUGCCCCGCCGCUGCUGUCACCCCCGGCCGCUGCUGCCCUCCCCGCCGAGGUUCUACUGCUCUCGUUCUUGAGAAGAAGGGUGGGAGGCACUCGGUCUCUCCCCACACCUCUCGCCUGAGGCCAGGCGCCAGGUGUCGCCUGAAGCCAGACAGCCGGUUUGGGAGCGAGCCUGAGGUCAACCAAUCAAUGGCUCAGACAGAUAAGCCAACAUGCAUCCCGCCGGAGCUGCCGAAAAUGCUGAAGGAGUUUGCCAAAGCCGCCAUUCGGGCGCAGCCGCAGGACCUCAUCCAGUGGGGGGCCGAGAGAGACCUCCAGAGGCUGCUCAGUAGAUGGAGCUUACACAACAAUCGCUGCGGGCCUGGAUUGAAGUAGCUUUGCACAGAAAACCUCUCAGCUAUGAAAUUGCUCCUUGGACAAACUUGCCUGCUUAAAACUGGGGAACCAGGACUUGAGACAGGAGUUGGAAGAUAACUAGACCUCACGGACCAUUUUCAGACUAUUUUUACUGUUUGAUGAUUCCCUGCUUAGGAGGGUUUCAGUGGGAAAGUGAGAGUGA
rnacentral:sRNA from 1 species